rnacentral:rRNA from 1 species
UACAGAGGUCCCGAGCGUUGUUCGGAUUCACUGGGCGAAAGGGUGCGUAGGUGGUGAGGUAAGUCGGAUGUGAAAUCUCCGGGCUCAACCCGGGAACUGCUUUCGAAACUGCCGAGCUAGAGUGCGGAAGGGGGCAACUGGAAUUCCCAGUGUAGCGGUGAAAUGCGUAGAUAAUUGGGAAGAACACCUGAGGCGAAGGCGGGUUGCUGGGCCGACACUGGACGCUGAGACUCGAAAGCGUGGGGAGCAAACAGG